CGUAGGUGGCAAGCGUUGUCCGGAUUUAUUGGGUUUAAAGGGUGCGUAGGCGGUCUUAUAAGUCAGUGCUGAAAUAUCCCGGCUUAACCGGGAGGGUGGCAUUGAUACUGUAGGACUUGAGUAAAGUUGAGGUUGGCGGAAUUGACGGUGUAGCGGUGAAAUGCUUAGAUAUCGUCAAGAACACCGAUAGUGUAGACAGCUAACUAAGCUUUAACUGACGCUGAGGCACGAAAGUGUGGGGAUCAAACAGGAUUAGAUACCCUGGUAGUCCACACUGUAAACGUUGAAGACUCGCUGUUGGCGAUACACAGUCAGCGGCUGAGAGAAAUCGUUAAGUCUUCCACCUGGGGAGUACGCCGGCGACGGUG
rnacentral:rRNA from 1 species